rnacentral:rRNA from 1 species
CCUACGGGUGGCAGCAGUGAGGAAUAUUGGUCAAUGGGCGGAAGCCUGAACCAGCCAAGCCGCGUGAGGGAUGAAGGUUCUAUGGAUCGUAAACUUCUUUUAUAAGGGAAUAAAGUGUGGGACGUGUCCAAUUUUGAAUGUACCUUAUGAAUAAGGAUCGGCUAACUCCGUGCCAGCAGCCGCGGUAAUACGGAGGAUCCGAGCGUUAUCCGGAUUUAUUGGGUUUAAAGGGUGCGUAGGCGGCCUUGUAAGUCAGCGGUGAAAGUCUGUGGCUCAACCAUAGAAUUGCCGUUGAAACUGGGUGGCUUGAGUAUGUUUGAGGCAGGCGGAAUGCGUGGUGUAGCGGUGAAAUGCUUAGAUAUCACGCAGAACCCCAGUGGCGAAGGCAGCCUUCCAGGCCAUGACUGACGCUGAUGCACGAAAGCGUGGGGAUCAAACAGGAUUAGAUACCCGGGUAGUC